UCACUAGAGGUAAUGAUGCCCUGGACACAUCACUGGAGGUAAUGACACAUCACUAGAGGUAAUGAUGCCCUAGACACAUCACUGGAGGUAAUGACACAUCACUAGAGGUAAUUACACACCACUAGAGGUAAUGAUGCCCUGGACACAUCACUAGAGGUAAUGAUGCCCUAGACACAUCACUAGAGGUAAUGACACAUCACUAGAGGAAUAACUGGAAUGGGUUAAACCUCUCUCUCUCUCACUCUCUCUCUCUCUCUCUCUCUCUCUCUCUCUCUCUCUCUCUCUCUCUCUCUCUCUCUCUCUCUCUCUCUCUCUCUCUCUCUCUCUCUCUCUCUCUCUCUCUCUCUCUCUCUCUCUCUCUGUCUCUGUCUCUCUGUCUCUCUGUCUCUCUCCCUCUCUCUGUCUCUCCCUCUCUCUCUCUAUAUAUAUAUAUGAAUAAGACCCUCAUAACUGGGAGGUCAUGCAGGGUAAAUCACCCUGCUAUCUACCAAGCUCAGUAGAAUAACUCCAGGUAAAUCACCCUGCUAUCUACCAGGCUCAGUAGAAUAACUCCAGGUACAUCACCCUGCUAUCUACCAGGCUCAGUAGAAUAACUCCAGGUACAUCACCCUGCUAUCUACCAGGCUCAGUAGAAUAACUCCAGGUACAUCACCCUGCUAUCUACCAAGCUCAGUAGAAUAACUCCAGGUACAUCACCCUGCUAUCUACCAAGCUCAGUAGAAUAACUCCAGGUACAUCACCCUGCUAUCUACCAGGCUCAGUAGAAUAACUCCAGGUACAUCACCCUGCUAUCUACCAAGCUCAGUAGAAUAACUCCAGGUACAUCACCCUGCUAUCUACCAGGCUCAGUAGAAUAACUCCAGGUACAUCACCCUGCUAUCUACCAGGCUCAGUAGAAUAACUCCAGGUACAUCACCCUGCUAUCUACCAGGCUCAGUAGAAUAACUCCAGGUAAAUCACCCUGCUAUCUACCAGGCUCAGUAGAAUAACUCCAGGUACAUCACCCUGCUAUCUACCAGGCUCAGUAGAAUAACUCCAGGUACAUCACCCUGCUAUCUACCAGGCUCAGUAGAAUAACUCCAGGUACAUCACCCUGCUAUCUACCAGGCUCAGUAGAAUAACUCCAGGUAAAUCACCCUGCUAUCUACCAGGCUCAGUAGAAUAACUCCAGGUACAUCACCCUGCUAUCUACCAGGCUCAGUAGAAUAACUCCAGGUACAUCACCCUGCUAUCUACCAGGCUCAGUAGAAUAACUCCAGGUAAAUCACCCUGCUAUCUACCAGGCUCAGUAGAAUAACUCCAGGUACAUCACCCUGCUAUCUACCAGGCUCAGUAGAAUAACUCCAGGUAAAUCACCCUGCUAUCUACCAGGCUCAGUAGAAUAACUCCAGGUAAAUCACCCUGCUAUCUACCAGGCUCAGUAGAAUAACUCCAGGUACAUCACCCUGCUAUCUACCAGGCUCAGUAGAAUAACUCCAGGUACAUCACCCUGCUAUCUACCAAGCUCAGUAGUACACACACACACACACACACACACACACACACACACAC